UGCCCUAGUAACGGCGAGUGAAGCGGCAACAGCUCAAAUUUGAAAUCUGGCUUCGGCCCGAGUUGUAUUUGUAGAGGAAACUUUUGGUGAGGCACCUUCUGAGUCCCUUGGAACAGGGCGCCAUAGAGGGUGAGAGCCCCGUAUAGUCGGAUGCCGAUCCAGUGUAAAGUUCCUUCGACGAGUCGAGUAGUUUGGGAAUGCUGCUCAAAAUGGGAGGUAAAUUUCUUCUAAAGCUAAAUAUAGGCCAGAGACCGAUAGCGCACAAGUAGAGUGAUCGAAAGAUGAAAAGCACUUUGAAAAGAGGGUUAAAUAGCACGUGAAAUUGUUGAAAGGGAAGCGUUUGUGACCAGACUUGCGCCGUUCCGAUCAUCCGGUGUUCUCACCGGUGCACUCGGGGCGGCUCAGGCCAGCAUCGGUUUUGGUGGGGGGAUAAAGGUUCAGGGAACGUGGCUCCUUCGGGAGUGUUAUAGCCCUGGGCGUAAUGCCCUCGCCGGGACCGAGGUUCGCGCAUCUGCAAGGAUGCUGGCGUAAUGGUCAUCAACGACCCGUCUUGAAACACGGACCAAGGAGUCAAGGUUUUGCGCGAGUGUUUGGGUGUAAAACCCGCACGCGUAAUGAAAGUGAACGUAGGUGAGAGCUUCGGCGCAUCAUCGACCGAUCCUGAUGUAUUCGGAUGGAUUUGAGUAAGAGCGUUAAGCCUUGGACCCGAAAGAUGGUGAACUAUGCUUGGAUAGGGUGAAGCCAGAGGAAACUCUGGUGGAGGCUCGCAGCGGUUCUGACGUGCAAAUCGAUCGUCAAAUCUGAGCAUGGG
rnacentral:rRNA from 1 species